GACGAACCGAGCGAACGUUAUUCGGAAUCACUGGGCUUAAAGGGCGCGUAGGCGGGCGAUCAAGUCAGGGGUGAAAGCCCCCAGCUCAACUGGGGAAGUGCCUUUGAUACUGGUCGUCUCGAGGGGGAUAGGGGCGUGCGGAACUUCCGGUGGAGCGGUGAAAUGCGUAGAUAUCGGGAGGAACAUCCGUGGCGAAGGCGACUACCUGGACCAGCACUGACACUGAGGCACGAAAGCGUGGGGAGCAAACAGG
rnacentral:rRNA from 1 species